GGGCGAUUAGCUCAGUUGGCGAGAGCACCACAUUGACAUUGUGGGGGUCAGUGGUUCGAGUCCACUAUCGCCCACCA
rnacentral:tRNA from 1 species